ACGGAAUAGAUACCCGGGUAGUCCACGCCCUAAACGAUGUCUACUAGUUGUCGGGGAUUCAUUUCCUUGGUAAACGCAGCUAAACGCGUGAAAGUAGACCGCCUGGGGAGUACGGCCGCAAGGUUAAAACUCAAAGGAAUUGACGGGGACCCGCACAAGCGGUGGAUGAUGUGGAUUAAUUCGAUGCAACGCGAAAAACCUUACCUACGCUUGACAUGCCAGGAACUUUCCAGAGAUGGAUUGGUGCCCGAAAGGGAACCUGGACACAGGUGCUGCAUGGCUGUCGUCAGCUCGUGUCGUGAGAUGUUGGGUUAAGUCCCGCAACGAGCGCAACCCGUUAUCCUUAGUUGCUACGCAAGGGCACUCUAGGGAGACUGCCGGUGACAAACCGGAGGAAGGUGGGGAUGACGUCAAGUCCUCAUGGCCCUUAUGUGUAGGGCUUCACACGUCAUACAAUGGUCGGUACAGAGGGUCGCCAACCCGCGAGGGGAGCCAAUCCCAGAAAACCGAUCGUAGUCCGGAUUGCAGUCUGCAACUCGACUGCAUGAA
rnacentral:rRNA from 1 species